UGUAUCUUAGUAUAUGAUGUAUAGGAGUUUUUGAUACUUUAGGAGGUGGUUUAAUUCUACCAGGUACAG
rnacentral:tRNA from 1 species